rnacentral:rRNA from 1 species
UACGAAGGGGGCUAGCGUUGCUCGGAAUCACUGGGCGUAAAGCGCACGUAGGCGGAUCGUUAAGUCGGAGGUGAAAUCCUGGAGCUCAACUCCAGAACUGCCUUCGAUACUGGCGAUCUUGGAGUCCGGGAGAGGUGAGUGGAACUCCGAGUGUAGAGGUGAAAUUCGUAGAUAUUCGGAAGAACACCAGUGGCGAAGGCGGCUCACUGGCCCG